GAUGAACGCUGGCGGCGUGCCUAAUACAUGCAAGUCGAGCGAACGGACGAGAAGCUUGCUUCUCUGAUGUUAGCCGCGGACGGGUGAGUAACACGUGGAUAACCUACCUAUAAGACUGGGAUAACUUCGGGAAACCGGAGCUAAUACCGGAUAAUAUUUUGAACCGCAUGGUUCAAAAGUGAAAGACGGUCUUGCUGUCACUUAUAGAUGGAUCCGCGCUGCAUUAGCUAGUUGGUAAGGUAACGGCUUACCAAGGCAACGAUGCAUAGCCGACCUGAGAGGGUGUUCGGCCACACUGGAACUGAGACACGGUCCAGACUCCUACGGGAGGCAGCAGUAGGGAAUCUUCCGCAAUGGGCGAAAGCCUGACGGAGCAACGCCGCGUGAGUGAUGAAGGUCUUCGGAUCGUAAAACUCUGUUAUUAGGGAAGAACAUAUGUGUAAGUAACUGUGCACAUCUUGACGGUACCUAAUCAGAAAGCCACGGCUAACUACGUG
rnacentral:rRNA from 1 species